GACGAACGCUGGCGGCGUGCUUAAUACAUGCAAGUCGAGCGAAGUUUUUCUGGUGCUUGCACCGGAAAAACUUAGCGGCGAACGGGUGAGUAACACGUAAAGAACCUGCCUCAUAGACUGGGACAACUAUUGGAAACGAUAGCUAAUACCGGAUAAUAGCAUUAACUGCAUGGUUGAUGUUUAAAAGUUGGUUUUGCUAACACUAUGAGAUGGCUUUGCGGUGCAUUAGCUAGUUGGUGGGGUAAAGGCCUACCAAGGCGACGAUGCAUAGCCGACCUGAGAGGGUGAUCGGCCACACUGGGACUGAGACACGGCCCAGACUCCUACGGGAGGCAGCAGUAGGGAAUCUUCCGCAAUGGGCGAAAGCCUGACGGAGCAACGCCGCGUGAGUGAAGAAGGAUUUCGGUUCGUAAAGCUCUGUUGUUAGGGAAGAAUGAUUGUGUAGUAACUAUACACAGUAGAGACGGUACCUAACCAGAAAGCCACGGCUAACUACGUG
rnacentral:rRNA from 1 species